AUGGGCACAAGACGAGGAACUGUCAGGAGGGAGUGCAAGGUUAAUUGGUCCAAAGUUUGCUCGCCGAUAGAAUACGGUGGGCUUGUCAUCCUCAACCUCGAGAAAUUCAGUAGGGCACUUAGGUUGCGAUGGUUGUGGCACUCUUGGAAGAAUCCCGAUCGACCAUGGGUGGGGAUGGAGGUGCCAUGUGAUGACAGAGACAAGGCCACAUACAACGCAAUGACGACGAUCACCAUAGGGGACGGAAGCAGGGCCACCUUCUGGGAUGUGGCUGGGCGGACGCUGAACCCUUGA
rnacentral:rRNA from 1 species